rnacentral:lncRNA from 1 species
GCUGAGAGUGCACACUGCACUCCAGCCUGAGUGACAGAGCAAGCUUCUGUCUCAAAAAAAAAAGACUAAAACUUACCGCAAGAUAAGUUUUAGUCUUGUUAUACCAUAUUCCAGCAUGAUUUAUCUUUGGUAAAACUGGGAGACUGGACAGGAAGAUUACGUUUUGUUUAAAAAGAAAAUGUAUAGUGCACCAGUUAUUGGAUUCCAGUUCUUGUCUGUUGUUUUUGAGUUUUUAUUAUUUUCUACAAUUUGGAUUGGCUCUUCAAUUCUUUCUGGGCUCCAAACCAACAUUUUCAAAAUUUUCUUCUAUUUUUCAGACUAGGACUCAAUGAAAUUGCUGCCCCCAUGUUCCUGAGGCUCUGCAAGCUGAAGCUUAUUUCUCAUGAUAUAGGCAAGAAAAAUGUGUCAGGUUGCCACCACCUUCCUCCCUGAAAGGAAGAUUUCCUCCCUCAAACAAGACCAGAAGGAGCCUGGUUUUCCCUAGAAUUCUCCUCACAUCUCCCCAGGACACCCUCCAGGCCUUUGUCAGGGCCAGAAUUUUCUGCUCUUACGAUGCUGAUGAUUGUCUAAGAUUGCACCAUCCACCCUGGAGGUUGCUGACUCCCAUUUGAUUGCUGGCCUGCCACUCAUCCUGUGCUGUUUUCUUGGAGCCUGACCUCCUCAGUGAUUGCUGCUGGAGAGACUGAAUGGUGCAACCUGGAAGUGCGGUGUAGCUGAUGCUCUGUGGUGGAAACUGACCAGAUGGAGAGAGGAGUCUGCAGAGAAGUCUUCUCUUUCUUCCUCACCCCAUAGUAAGCCCACACAGAGUUCUGGUCCUCACCACAGUGCCUUAGGGAAUGGAGCUCCCAGGAUGCCCACUUGAGCUGGUUCUCCACAGCAUCAAGCUCAGAACUUGGUAAUCCCUGAGCUUCUUCUUGAGAUACCAUGUCUUCUACUAGUACUUCCCGUUUUCGUCGACGGAGAGAAACCUGGAAACAGAAAGAUUUGAUUCAGAGAAGGAACUGUAAUGAGAAUCAGAACUAAAAACACGUAAGAGAAACCCCAUGAAACAAAUACUGCAGAAGCCUAGAUGGCAAAGCGGCACAGAUAACAAGGAGUGGUAGGGGAAUGGGGGAAAAGGCAUAAACAUAAUUCUAACUUAGUUGAGUGGAAUUAAUUCAGCAGCUUUGCCUACUACCUAUGCCAGUGCUUCUGACACAGGAAAUGACACAAGCAGGCUCACCGGUUGUCCAGGGUCAUCAAGUUCACUCUCCAAAUCCUCCAGCACUGUCACUGCCUCCUCUCCAUUCUCUGGAUGAUGAUCUCGAACCCAAGUCUGUAGCUCUUUGGGUAGGAUGGCAACAAACUGCUCCAGCACUACCAGCUCCAAGAUUUGUUCUUUUGUGUGCGUCUCUGGCCUGAGCCACAGACGGCAAAGUUCUCGGAGCUGGCUCACAGCCUCACGGGGCCCAGGUGAAUCCUGGUAUCCAAACUGCCUGAAUCGCUGUCGGAAAAUCUCUGGGUCUGGGAGAUGGUUCCAGGGGAUACUUGAUCCCUCUUCGCCAUCAGGAUCCUCCUCCAACUUCACUCUCAGAAUUUUUUCCUCUUCAUCUGGAGUUGGGAUGAUAAGUAUUGAAUCUUCUUCCACUGACUGUGCAGACAUUCUGAUUUAUAAUAUUU